rnacentral:rRNA from 1 species
AGUGAACGCUGGCGGUAGGCCUAACACAUGCAAGUCGAACGGCAGCACAGGAGAGCUUGCUCUCUAGGUGGCGAGUGGCGGACGGGUGAGGAAUACAUCGGAAUCUGCCCAGUCGUGGGGGAUAACGUAGGGAAACUUACGCUAAUACCGCAUACGACCUUCGGGUGAAAGAGGGGGAUCGCAAGACCUCUCGCGAUUGGAUGAGCCGAUGUCGGAUUAGCUAGUUAGCGGGGUAAUGGCCCACCAAGGUGACGAUCCGUAGCUGGUCUGAGAGGAUGAUCAGCCACACUGGAACUGAGACACGGUCCAGACUCCUACGGGAGGCAGCAGUGGGGAAUAUUGGACAAUGGGCGCAAGCCUGAUCCAGCCAAACCGCGCGGGUGAAGAAGGCCUUCGGGUUGUAAAGCCCUUUUGUUGGGAAAGAAAUCUUUCAGGCUAAUACCCUGGGAGGAUGACGGUACCCAAAGAAUAAGCACCGGCUAACUUCGUG